GGGGGGAGCAAGCGUUGUUCGGAAUUACUGGGCGUAAAGGGCUCGUAGGCGGCCAACUAAGUCGGAUGUGAAAUCCCCAGGCUCAACCUGGGAACUGCAUCCGAUACUGGAUGGCUUGAAUUCGGGAGAGGGAUGCAGAAUUCCAGGUGUAGCGGUGAAAUGCGUAGAUAUCUGGAGGAAUACCGGUGGCGAAGGCGGCAUCCUGGACCGAGAUUAACGCUGAUGAGCGAAAGCUAGGGGAGCAAACGGGAUUAGAUACCCCGGUAGUCCUAGCCCUAAACGAUGAAUGCUUGGUGUAGCGGGUAUCGAUCCCUGCUGUGCCGAAGCUAACGCAUUAAGCAUUCCGCCUGGGGAGUACGGUCGCAAGGCUG
rnacentral:rRNA from 1 species